ACUACCUAGACCACCAGCUAAUUUAGCCUCCAAAAGACCCCCACGUCAGAUUGCUCAUUCAGGACCUUUGGUGUCAAAAGUCCAGGAACUUUCUUCCACAAAUAAAAUGGCAGUGUCUUCGACUGCUUCUACUCUACCAACACCUCCAGCUCUUCCUCGUAGUUACUCCAUACCAUCUAGGGGUCAGAUAGAAACAGCUUUCCUGGCAGUGUCUUCAACUGCUUCUACACUACCAACACCUCCAGCUCUUCCUCGUAGUUACUCCAUACCAUCUAGGGGUCAGAUAGAAACAGCUUUCCAUGUUUCUAAGCCACUGGAAGAUAUGGCUUCACCUCCUUUAACGCCAAUAGCCUUCGGGAACACCCAGCAUUCUCCCCCUGCUUCAUAGCCUCCAAACUAGCUAGUCAAAUUAAAGGUGUAACUACGCGAGCUGCCAGUACUUUUCUGACUUUCCUGAGGAGCUUAGUUGUUCUAUCAGUGCAACCCAGUUAGGGUGAAAGGCAACAUUUGGUAGGGUAUCCUAAUGUGCAGCAAUUGAGUCUUCUGUUGCUUCUGAUGUAUGGUGGCAUUUUUGUAUUUACCGUAAGUAUAUCUAUUUUGCUUUUCUCAUUUAGAUGUAGGCUUCUUCACCUUGUAACUAUUUAAAGCUUCUAUGAGACCAAACAAGUGGCUUAGGUAGCUUUGUAUUAAAAUCUUUCUGUAAAUAUCCCAAAAAUAACCUAUCCGGAGGGAGAAAAGGAGUACAAAAUGUGGAGAAAAUCAAAGUCCAUGGAAAUAAUGCAUUUUCUUUUACUUUUUGGUAGUUCGUGGAUAAUUACAAUUCAACUGUCAUAUUGCUAACAACUUCUGUGAGAUAACUAGAACAUUUACAACUCACUUUUUAUGGAGCUUAAUGUAACACAAGUGAGCUGUUCGAGCAUAUUGAGAAUAAAUAGAUUGAUUUGAUGCUCACUUCAGGAGGAGGAUGCUGAUAUGAAAUUAUGCAUCUAUGAGAUAGUUGUAGAUUCACAUUGUUGUUAUAAGUUUGUGUAGUAUUUUUCAUAAGAUAUGGUGAUUCCCAAACACGAGAGGCUAG
rnacentral:lncRNA from 1 species